rnacentral:rRNA from 1 species
UACGUAGGGGGCAAGCGUUGUCCGGAUUUAUUGGGCGUAAAGAGCGUGUAGGCGGCCAAGCAGGUCCGCUGUGAAAACUCGAGGCUCAACCUCGAGACGUCGGUGGAAACCGUUUGGCUAGAGUCCGGAAGAGGAGAGUGGAAUUCCCGGUGUAGCGGUGAAAUGCGCAGAUAUCGGGAAGAACACCCGUGGCGAAGGCGGCUCUCUGGGACGGUACUGACGCUGAGGCGCGAAAAGCGUGG